rnacentral:rRNA from 1 species
AUUGAACGCUGGCGGCAGGCCUAACACAUGCAAGUCGAGCGGAUGAAGGGUGCUUGUUCCUGGUUUCAGCGGCGGACGGGUGUGUAAUGCCCAGGAAUCUGCCUCGUUGUGGGGGAUAAUGUCCGCAAACGGCUGCUGAUAAUGCAUACGACCUGCGCGUGAAACAGGGGGAUCUUUGGAAAUUUUGCUAUCAGAUGGGUCUAGGUGGGAUUGGCUAGUUUGUGGGGUAAGGGCCUACUUAGGCGACGAUUCGUAACUGGUCGGAGUGGAUGAUCAGCCGCACUGGAACGUGACCACGGUCCUGGCUCCUACGGUACGGAGCAGUGGGGUAUGGUGGACAGUGGGGGGAAACAUGGCCCAGCCAUGCCGCGUGUGUGAAGAAGGUCUUCGGAGUGUGAAGCACUUUAAGUUGGGAGGAAGGGCAGUAGGUUAAUACCUUGCUGUUUUGACGGUACCAGCAGAAUAAGCACCGGCUAACUACGUG